rnacentral:rRNA from 1 species
GACGAACGCUGGCGGCGUGCUUAACACAUGCAAGUCGAACGAUGACGACCGAGCUUGCUCGGUCUGAUUAGUGGCGAACGGGUGAGUAACACGUGAGCAACCUGCCCUUCACUCUGGGAUAACCUCGGGAAAUCGGGGCUAAUACCGGAUAUGAGCUCCUGUCGCAUGGCGGGUGUUGGAAAGUUUUUCGGUGAAGGAUGGGCUCGCGGCCUAUCAGUUUGUUGGUGAGGUAGUGGCUCACCAAGGCGAUGACGGGUAGCCGGCCUGAGAGGGCGACCGGCCACAAUGGGACUGAGACACGGCCCAGACUCCUACGGGAGGCAGCAGUGGGGAAUAUUGCACAAUGGGCGAAAGCCUGAUGCAGCGACGCCGCGUGAGGGAUGACGGCCUUCGGGUUGUAAACCUCUUUCAGCAGGGAAGAAGCGAAAGUGACGGUACCUGCAGAAGAAGCGCCGGCUAACUACGUG